CAGCAGCCACGGGAACACCAGCACCUCGAGUGGUCAGGAGGUUUAUUGGGCCUAAAGCAUCCGUAGCCGGUUGCAUAAGUUUUCGGUUAAAUCUAUGCGCUUAACGUAUAGGCCGCCGAAAAUACUGUGCAGCUAGGGAGUGGGAGAGGUACACGGUACUCGAUAGGAAGGGGUAAAAUCCUUUGAUCUAUUGAUGACCACCUGUGGCGAAGGCGGUGUACCAGAACACGUUCGACGGUGAGGGAUGAAAGCUGGGGGAGCAAACCGGAUUAGAUACCCGCGUAGUCCCUGUCUCUUAUAC
rnacentral:rRNA from 1 species